AGAGACCUAAAGAAGGGGAAGGGAAGAACCCACAUGUGAGAGAGAAGAGAUUGUCUGACUUGGUCUCUUAGGGCUCCUCAUCUCAAGAAGCCAGCAGGCAAGGGAAGGACAAACCAUCCUUGCAGGAAUAAUUCGUACUGAUCAUUUGGAGGAGAUUCGGCUAGUAUAGCUGCUGUUACAUAAUGAAGAAAAGGAAGAAUAUGUUUCAAACUCAGAUGAACCACUGGGGAGUCUCUUGAUACUCUGUUGCCUAAUUUGGAUGGUUAAUGGUCAGUGUUCCUAAUUGCACUGCCCCUGGAAAACGCACGGAGAAGAAAUACAGCAAAAUACAUGAGAUGGUGAAACACUCUGGCAACUGCAAGCGGACAGAUGGGAUCUGGGAGGUAAUGCAGGGUCACAGGGCAGUUACACCAGGAUAUUUGGUUCUUUCCUACUCUCCUUUCCCCACCCUCAAUGCUAUAUACAUAACUGCUAGUGAAUCAAUUUAUGUACAUAUCCCAGAUAUCUAGGACUGGUUGAGGCGGGUUAUCCAAGAGAGUCACAG
rnacentral:lncRNA from 1 species